rnacentral:rRNA from 1 species
AACGAACGCUGGCGGCAGGCUUAACACAUGCAAGUCGAACGCCCCGCAAGGGGAGUGGCAGACGGGUGAGUAACGCGUGGGAAUCUACCCAUCUCUGCGGAAUAGCUCCGGGAAACUGGAAUUAAUACCGCAUACGCCCUACGGGGGAAAGAUUUAUCGGGGAUGGAUGAGCCCGCGUUGGAUUAGCUAGUUGGUGGGGUAAAGGCCUACCAAGGCGACGAUCCAUAGCUGGUUUGAGAGGAUGAUCAGCCACAUUGGGACUGAGACACGACCCAAACUCCUACGGGAGGCAGCAGUGGGGAAUAUUGGACAAUGGGCGCAAGCCUGAUCCAGCCAUGCCGCGUGAGUGAUGAAGGCCUUAGGGUUGUAAAGCUCUUUCACCGGUGAAGAUAAUGACGGUAACCGGAGAAGAAGCCCCGGCUAACUUCGUGCCAGCAGCCGCGGUAA